UACGGGGGGAGCAAGCGUUGUUCGGAUUUACUGGGCGUAAAGGGCGCGUAGGCGGCGUGACAAGUCACUUGUGAAAUCUCCGGGCUUAACUCGGAACGGUCAAGUGAUACUGUCGUGCUAGAGUACAGAAGGGGCAACUGGAAUUCUCGGGUGUAGCGGUGAAAUGCGUAGAUAUCGAGAGGAACACCUGCGGCGAAGGCGGGUUGCUGGGCUGAUACUGACGCUGAGGCGCGAAAGCCAGGGGAGCGAACGGG
rnacentral:rRNA from 1 species